CAGAUUAUAGCUUAUUUAAAGCUUAUUAUUUACAUUAAUAUGAAAACGAUGAUUUUUUUCUGA
rnacentral:tRNA from 1 species